CACACUCAGGUUGCAAACAGAGGAGUCCAUGGAAAGCCAAACCUCCACACAAACAUGGAGGUCUGAGGAAAGACAGACAUCCAUACGAUCAACCUCUACUGGUUGCAUGGAGGGUCUUCAUGUUGGCAUUGGCACGAAGGCCAAGCUAAGUCCGGCUCGGCCUUUACACCGACCCACACCCAGGUGGCACUAACCUAGGUCCAUCAUCUUGGCUUUGAGAUGAGACGAGGGCUGAGGAGAGGAGAGAUGAGGAGAGGAGAAGUACAGCAAGGCAAACUAAGGCCGUGUGAGACAUGUCAAAGUACUUUCUUCUCCACAGGCCCUCAUAGUGGGGUCUAAUUGCUGUGUGUAUCUACCGAGGCUGCGAAGAGCCCACGGCAGCCCUGUAGCGCCCCAGGCAGUGUGCUGAUAAGACUUCUGCCUCGCCUGAGCUGAACUGUCAUCUCUGGCCGCCGUGUGUUUUUAUAUUGCAGCAGAAAACUGAUUCUUCUUGAUUAAAAAGA